UAAAAAUAGACUGAUCAGGUCCCAUUCAUAAAUUGGGAAGUCUCGAGAUUUGGAGGGAUGAGUUGGGCUUGAGAUGAUGAAAAGCUUUAUUGCAACAACUGCAGAUCAGACAACUUUGUAGCUUACUAGUUUAUAAAGGCAAAUAUAGCAUCAUGUAUUCUUCUUGUUUCUGUUUGAUUUUGAACUGUUCUGUUAUCUUUAUCCGCCUGAAUGUAACUUUUACUGAAUAUUGGAUUAAACGCUUUUAAAUCAAGCAUCUUCUAGAUAAGUUGUACGAAGUUAGGGAAGGAUACAGCAGACAUCCUGGUUUUAGCUGUUCAUUCUUGCUGGUUUUUGGUUGAAGAAUAUCUUCCUUGGAUGUGCAAGGGCUUGCUUGAUCAGGCACGUACCAAACUAACUUAAAACCAUCCAAUAAAUAUGUCAUAUGACGAAGAUGAUGUAAGUAUACUAUCCCUACUUAGUCAUCACAAAUUCGUCCUCUAACGGGACACCUAAUUGAUCAAGGAAAGAAGUCUGGUCCAUGUUAUAUCAUCCUUAAAUGAAGAGAUAUAUAUAUAUAUCCAAAUCGAAUAAAGGUAAUAAAUUCGUAAUUGCAAUUGAUUAUUUUUCCAUGCGAAUCUAUAUUACCCCAUCUUAAAGUCGAUUAGACUUUGAUGGAUUGUGUCAGCGGUCCCUAAUCACUACUGCAUAAGCCUGCAUCCGCUAACCUGUACUACGCUUCCCGGUCUGCUGGUCCUCGGAGCGAUGACCAUCUCUUAUCGUGCUCCCAAGCCUGACGCCUGAUUAAAUAUAUAGCAACCGUCUUUCGCCUCUCUGCGUCCGUUCGGCCAUUCCCAGUACUCAAAUCGCGCGCCUUUUCGAGGAACUGGCCUUCCAUAUCCAGAGAUCCGCCGCCGACGACGACAACGACAACGACGAAGGCGGCGGCCGCGGAGAUCCACCUCCUUCUCUGCUUGCCUCAGAGGUUUCGCCCCUUCUUUCCUUUCUCUUUUCUCCUGCCUGCCUUGAGGUUGAUCCGUAUAUGUUGCCGAUACUUCCGUUAAAUAGUUGUUACAUAGGGCUCGGGUUUUGGGGGCCUGAUUGGAAGGAUGGACACCAUUUUUUAGGAUCAGGGAUUUCUCAAAGUUAAUCUGAGUCCAUGCGGCUGAU
rnacentral:lncRNA from 1 species